GACGAACGCUGGCGGCGUGCUUAACACAUGCAAGUCGAACGGAAAGGCCCUGCUUGCCGGGUACUCGAGUGGCGAACGGGUGAGUAACACGUGGGUGAUCUGCCCUGCACUUCGGGAUAAGCCUGGGAAACUGGGUCUAAUACCGGAUAGGAGCCAUUUUUAGUGUGAUGCUUGGAAAGUUUUUUCGGUGUAGGAUGAGCUCGCGGCCUAUCAGCUUGUUGGUGGGGUAAUGGCCUACCAAGGCGGCGACGGGUAGCCGGCCUGAGAGGGUGGACGGCCACAUUGGGACUGAGAUACGGCCCAGACUCCUACGGGAGGCAGCAGUGGGGAAUAUUGCACAAUGGGCGCAAGCCUGAUGCAGCGACGCCGCGUGGGGGAUGACGGCCUUCGGGUUGUAAACUCCUUUCGCUAGGGACGAAGCUUUUUGUGACGGUACCUAGAGAAGAAGCACCGGCUAACUACGUG
rnacentral:rRNA from 1 species